rnacentral:rRNA from 1 species
CGAGGGUUGAGGCGUGAUGGCGAGCCCACUGUGUGGGUGAGUGAGUGAUCCUGUACUGCCGAGAAAAGCUUCGUGAGCGAGGUGUGAGCCGCCCGUACCCUAAACCGACACUGGUGGAUUGGUAGAGUAUACCGAGGCGAUCGAGAGAAUCAUGGUGAAGGAACUCGGCAAAAUGGCCCCGUAACUUCGGGAUAAGGGGUGCCUGAACCGUCCGGUCUGUGACAGGCUGUGGGCGGUGAGGGUCGCAGAGUCCAGGGGGAAACGACUGUUUACUAAAAACACAGGUCCGUGCGAAGUCGUAAGACGAUGUAUACGGACUGACUCCUCCCCGGUGCUGGAAGGUCAAGGGGAACUGUCAAGGGUCUUUCGGGGUCCUGAAGCGGUGAACUUAAGCCCCAGUAAACGGCGGUGGUAACUAUAACCAUCCUAAGGUAGCGAAAUUCCUUGUCGGGUAAGUUCCGACCUGCACGAAUGGAGUAACGAUUUCCCUACUGUCUCACCGUGAACUCGGUGAAAUUGCAUUACGAGUAAAGAUGCUCGUUACGCGCAGCAGGACGGAAAGACCCCGGGACCUUUACUAUAGUUUGGUAUUGGUGAUCGGUGCGACUUGUGUAGGAUAGGUGGGAGACGGUGAAGCGGCCACGCCAGUGGUUGUGGAGUCAUUGUUGAAAUACCACUCUGGUCGUUCUGGUUACCUCACCUCGGACCGUGAUCCGGUUCAGGGACAGUGCCUGAUGGGUAGUUUGACUGGGGCGGUCGCCUCCUAAAAGGUAACGGAGGCGCCCAAAGGUUCCCUCAGCCUGGUUGGUAAUCAGGUGUCGAGUGUAAGUGCACAAGGGAGCUUGACUGUGAGACAGGCAUGUCGAGCAGGGACGAGAGUCGGGACUAGUGAUCUGACGGUGGCUUGUGGAUGUGCCGUCACUCAACGGAUAAAAGGUACCCCGGGGAUAACAGGCUGAUCUUGCCCGAGCGCUCACAGCGACGGCAUGGUUUGGCACCUCGAUGUCGGCUCGUCGCAUCCUGGGGCUGGAGUCGGUCCCAAGGGUUGGGCUGUUCGCCCAUAAAGCGGCACGCGAGCUGGGUUUAGAACGUCGUGAGACAGUUCGGUCCCUAUCCGCUGCGCGCGCAGGAAUCCUGAGAAAAGCUGUCUCUAGUACGAGAGGACCGAGACGGACUGACCUCUGGUGUGCCAGUUGUUCCGCCAGGAGCAUGGCUGGUUGGCUACGUCGGGACGUGAUAACCGCUGAAAGCAUCUAAGCGGGAAGCACGCUUCAAGAUGAGGGUUCCCACAGAAGAAUCUGGUAAGGCCCCCGAGAGACCAUCGGGUUGAUAGGCCGGACGUGGACGCACUGCAAGGUGCGGAGCUGACCGGUACUAAUAGGCCGAGGGCUUGC